GACGAACGCUGGCGGCGUGCCUAAUACAUGCAAGUAGGACGCAGUUGCGAACGGGUGAGUACCGCGUAGGUAACUACCUAUUAGAGGGGGAUAACCAUUGGAAACGCUAGCUAAUACCGCAUACUAGUAUAUGGACCUUCGUUGUAUUAGCUAGUAGGUAGGGUAAUGGCCUACCUAGGCAACGAUACAUAGCCGAGUCGAGAGGGUGAUCGGCCAAACUGGGACUGGGAAACGGGCCAGACUGCUAACGGAGGGAACAGGAGGGGAACAUCGGAAAAGGGGGGAAACCUGGACGAAGAAAGGCGGGUGGUUGAAAAAGGUUUUCAGAACGUAAAGCUCUGUUGAUAAGGGAGCGGUACUUAACCAGAAAGCGACGGCUAACUACGUGCCAGCAGCCGCGGUAAUUC
rnacentral:rRNA from 1 species